rnacentral:rRNA from 1 species
AGAGUUUGAAUCCCCGGCUCAGGAUGAACGCUGGCGGCGUGCCUAAUACAUGCAAGUCGAGCGAAUGGAUUAAGAGCUUGCUCUUAUGAAGUUAGCGGCGGACGGGUGAGUAACACGUGGGUAACCUGCCCAUAAGACUGGGAUAACUCCGGGAAACCGGGGCUAAUACCGGAUAAUAUUUUGAACUGCAUGGUUCGAAAUUGAAAGGCGGCUUCGGCUGUCACUUAUGGAUGGACCCGCGUCGCAUUAGCUAGUUGGUGAGGUAACGGCUCACCAAGGCAACGAUGCGUAGCCGACCUGAGAGGGUGAUCGGCCACACUGGGACUGAGACACGGCCCAGACUCCUACGGGAGGCAGCAGUAGGGAAUCUUCCGCAAUGGACGAAAGUCUGACGGAGCAACGCCGCGUGAGUGAUGAAGGCUUUCGGGUCGUAAAACUCUGUUGUUAGGGAAGAACAAGUGCUAGUUGAAUAAGCUGGCACCUUGACGGUACCUAACC